rnacentral:rRNA from 1 species
UACGAAGGGGGCUAGCGUUGCUCGGAAUCACUGGGCGUAAAGCGCACGUAGGCGGCUUUCUAAGUCAGGGGUGAAAUCCUGGAGCUCAACUCCAGAACUGCCUUUGAUACUGGAGAGCUUGAGUCCGGGAGAGGUGAGUGGAACUCCGAGUGUAGAGGUGAAAUUCGUAGAUAUUCGCAAGAACACCAGUGGCUAAGGCGGCUCACUGGCCCGAUACUGACGCUGAGGCACGAAAGCGUGGGGAGCAAACAGG